GUGGGGAAUAUUGGUCAAUGGGCGGAAGCCUGAACCAGCCAUGCCGCGUGCAGGACGACGGCCCUACGGGUUGUAAACUGCUUUUGCCCGGGAAUAACCCCCCGCUCUUGAGCGGGGCUGAACGUACCGGGAGAAUAAGGAUCGGCUAACUCCGUGCCAGCAGCCGCGGUAAUACGGAGGAUCCGAGCGUUAUCCGGAUUUAUUGGGCUUAAAGGGUGCGUAGGCGGCCUGUUAAGUCAGGGGUGAAAUACGGCAGCUCAACUGUCGCAGUGCCCUUGAUACUGACGGGCUUGAAUACCGGUGAAGGCGGCGGAAUGAGACAAGUAGCGGUGAAAUGCAUAGAUAUGUCUCAGAACCCCGAUUGCGAAGGCAGCUGCCUAACCGGCGAUUGACGCUGAUGCACGAAAGCGUGGGGAUCGAACAGGAUUAGAAACCCUGGUAGUCC
rnacentral:rRNA from 1 species